GACCAGUUAGCGUAGUUGGAAGCGCGCCUGUAUAGUGUUCACACUGUCCUCGUAGACUUGUGCGGGAGGCUUCGGUUCGAAUCCGGGACAGGUCG